AGGGUUUGAUUCUGGCUCAGGACGAACGCUGGCGGCGUGCCUAACACAUGCAAGUCGAACGGAGAUACAGGGGCUUGCCCCUGUAUCUUAGUGGCGGACGGGCGAGUAACGCGUGAGGAACCUGCCCUUCAGUGGGGAAUAACGGCUGGAAACGGUCGCUAAUACCGCAUGACACAUUGGUACCGCAUGAUACUGAUGUCAAAGGAGCAAUCCGCUGAAGGAUGGCCUUGCGUCCGAUUAGCUAGUUGGUGGGGUAACGGCCUACCAAGGCGACGAUCGGUAGCCGAACUGAGAGGUUGAUCGGCCGCAUUGGGACUGAGACACGGCCCAG
rnacentral:rRNA from 1 species